rnacentral:misc_RNA from 1 species
CGCAAACAUAUGUAAUGAAGUACAAUCUCUGUCAGACACUGUGGAUAUGGAGUCUAAACCUUUCUCCAAGAAAAGGGCACACAUUUCAAACACGGUAAACGCUUGUAUAAGAAUCUAAACUUGUAGAUUAUCAUAUACAUAUUUUUCAUGCGCCGCAGGGUACCGCUCCACCACUUUGGGUCACCCACUUUAAUUGCCAUUUUAUCUUUGGUAACCCUAAGCCUAUCAAUAUCAGAAAAAACCAGACUAAAGACUAAACUAUGGGUUCUCUGAAGAAGGAGAGGUUAACCUCUACCUCUAACACUGCCAACUCUAAUACUGCUAAUAUGAAUAAGAAGCAGAGUUGCACCAAUCCUGGUUGCUUCUUUUGCUCCAUGAAAGAGCAAAACUUGUCACUGAGGCGAGCUGGAAUACGCAGUUGUUUCAAGGAAAUGCCUGUCAAAGACAGUCAAGAACACGUUCUGGUGCUUAGUGGUCUAUGGAACAUUGCUAUGACACAGCCAGAUGAUCCAGAGUUCCCAUCCCUCGGCAUCUUCGAUUGCAUGGCAAGGUUGAUCCAAAAAGGUAUUAAUGAUAGAAGUUGG